UGUAAAUUGAAACAAUGAUAAGGAAGACUUUGGCAUGCGACGUGAAUGACGGAACAAUAUGAUUGCAGUAGCCUAAGCAAAGUGCUCCAGCAAGGGGUUGACUUCGCUUUCAGGGGUCUUGACGCUGUCUGUUCUUACGAUGCACGUUGGGCGGUGGUGAUUCAACAUGAUGAUCAGCUGCUGCCGCUCAUGCUUCAGCUCCUCGAUCUGGGCUUUGAGGUGAUGCCCUUGGUCAACAUUAAGUAGAUACUGAAGUCCCUCUGUACUCUGGGAAAUAACAUUGCCUAUGUUUUCUACAAAUUUCUGUGAUGGGGCCUCUUCCCUAGCUUGCCCAGGAAGUGCAGAGGAGAGAGCAUGGACCCCAGUUCCCGGAGGUCGGCGAAUUUGAGCUGGUCAGUCAGCGUGGUGGAGGGGAUCCCUGCCAGGGGACCCAGGCUGGGCAGGGAGCCCGCUGUCACCAGGGGAUCUGGGAUUGGUCCCGGCAUCAUGUUAGACCCGGCUGUGACCACAGCUUAUAGGGAAAGGGACAAAUGUAUAGGAAAAUACAUUGAGAAGAAAAUAAACAACACAUGGUUUGAGAUGUACGAUUCACCACCUCUGAAUAUUUCACAGGGAUACUUGCCUGACGACUCAACCUGAAUUUAAUUCCGCUGCUCUACUGAUCGCUACAUACAUUCAGUCUGAAACUGCCAUCCUACAAGUUGUUUGUGUGACUUGAAAAUGAGGGGCGUUGUACAAAAUAAAAUGAUCAGCGAUUGGAUCGUCUCUAACAAAUCUAACCAGAGUAUCAAAGUUGAUAACGUCAUCAUGAAGACCAGCUCUGGCCCAAUCCAUUGGUUUCUGGGACCAAUCAUAAUGGUCAGAAUGUGUUCACAUUCUAGGAAUCGUCAAAGAGGGAGGCAAAUGCAGAUUCAUCGUGGAGAAUAAACUUCCGUUGGCUUCAGGCAAUAGCUAUACCAGAGUUAAAGAUCUGAAUACAUUUUACCCCAAGCAUUCACAUCUCAAACCUGCUUGUGGUUUUGGUAUAGAAGACAGAUCAUUAAUUGCUCUAAAUCCAUUUAAGUCUGCUAAAGGGCUUGAAGGAGGCAUUUCCCAGGGUGCACCUGGUCUCCCUGGCAGCCCUCUCUAAUGAAUUGUUGGCCUGUUACAGAGCCAGAGGCCGAGGCUGUCUCCCA